GAUGAACGCUGGCGGCGUGCUUAACACAUGCAAGUCGAACGAAGCACCUUGAUUCGAUUCUUCGGAUGAAGAUCUUGGUGACUGAGUGGCAGACGGGUGAGUAACGCGUGGGUAACCUGCCUCAUACAGGGGGAUAACAGUUAGAAAUGACUGCUAAUACCGCAUACGACCACCGCACCUCAUGGUGCAGGGUUAAAAACUCCGGUGGUAUGAGAUGGACGCGCGUCUGAGUAGGUAGUUGGUAGGGUAACGGCCUAGCAAAGAGAGGAUCAGUAGCCGAGCGGGUAGCCUGACCGGACACAAUGGGGCUACGACACGGACUACAAUCCUACGCAAGGCAGGAGAGGGGUAUAUUGAAGGAUGGGGGAAGACCUGAUGGAGCGACGCGGGGUGAGAGAUGAUGUAUGUCGGGAAGUAAUGCUCUAUGAGAAGGGAAGAAAAUGACGGUACCUGACUAAGAAGCACCGGCUAACUACGUG
rnacentral:rRNA from 1 species